GACGAACGCUGGCGGCGUGCUUAACACAUGCAAGUCGAAUGGAAAGGCCCUGCUUUUGUGGGGUGCUCGAGUGGCGAACGGGUGAGUAACACGUGAGUAACCUGCCCUUGACUUUGGGAUAACUUCAGGAAACUGGGGCUAAUACCGUAUAGGAGCUCCUGCUGCAUGGUGGGGGUUGGAAAGUUUCGGCGGUUGGGGAUGGACUCGCGGCUUAUCAGCUUGUUGGUGGGGUAGUGGCUUACCAAGGCUUUGACGGGUAGCCGGCCUGAGAGGGUGACCGGCCACAUUGGGACUGAGAUACGGCCCAGACUCCUACGGGAGGCAGCAGGGGGGAAUAUUGCACAAUGGGCGGAAGCCUGAUGCAGCAACGCCGCGUGCGGGAUGACGGCCUUCGGGUUGUAAACCGCUUUCGCCUGUGACGAAGCGUGAGUGACGGUAAUGGGUAAAGAAGCACCGGCUAACUACGUG
rnacentral:rRNA from 1 species